rnacentral:misc_RNA from 1 species
UUCAAUAGUCUGAGCUUAAAAUUAAUGAGAGAUGGAUCAUUGCAGGUAGCCAAUUGAAGGGAGAAUCAGCAAAGUGAAGAGAAAAAAAACCAAUGCCAGAAAGGAAAAGAAUCCUCCUCUAUUGUUGUUGAGUUUUAUGAAAUUAUUAUCACCUUUCCUUUUUCAACUUCAUGGGAUGUUAAAUGGAUAGGUAGGAUUAGAGCAAUUGUCUUAAGUUUCUUUUAAUGUGUUUUAGAAUUUGUUUACUGC